UGAAAACAAUUGAAAAGGGCAUUGUAAGGCACACUCUGCUAUAAAAAUGCUUGCUUUUCUCUCAGAAUUGUACUCAUUGGUGAUUAAAAUUGCCCUACAAACACUCGCAUCCUGUCUUUCAUUAAGUGUUCCACUGGCUUGCUGAGCAUUGCAGAAGAGAUACAGGGUUGCCCCAGGUUAAGAAUGAAUUUUCUUUUUCAGUACUGUGCCAAGUUUUUACUCUUUGAAGAUAUCAUUAAAAACACCUCAAAGUUCCUCUG